rnacentral:rRNA from 1 species
UACGUAGGGUGCGAGCGUUAAUCGGAAUUACUGGGCGUAAAGCGCACGUAGGCGGCUUUGUAAGUCAGAGGUGAAAGCCUGGAGCUCAACUCCAGAACUGCCUUUGAGACUGCAUCGCUUGAAUCCAGGAGAGGGGGGUGGAAUUCCGCGUGUAGCAGUGAAAUGCGUAGAGAUGUGGAGGAACACCGAUGGCGAAGGCAGCCCCCUGGGUCAAGACUGACGCUCAUGCACGAAAGCGUGGGGAGCAAACAGG